rnacentral:lncRNA from 1 species
GUCCAUGCCAAGAAUUUCAGGGAGGAAAGGGCGGCAGAGACACAAACAUUGAGGAAUUCUCAGCCAUUUCAGGAAGCGACUCAGACAGCUCCAGAGAAGAGGCUGGGAGAGGGAAGACUGAUUUCAGGGCAGUCACCACCCUCUGCCCCACUCUUGUGCCGUCCCCAACCCCCUCUUGGCGUGGCCAGAGCCAGGGCCAGAGCCCAGUCUCGGGUUGGGGACAGUGGGACAAGCCAUGGGAAAAACAAUCAAACCUUGGCCAGCCGGAUAAUUAGCUGCUCCUCUGUGACCGUGGCCUCCUUGUCCUCUCCGCCUCACUGCCACCCCCUUCCCACCCCUGCAGGACAAAGGUUUCUCAAUGGACGCCCCGGUAACACCAGCUCAUUAAUGUUAAUGGGAGAGCCGGACAUGAGCCUGGAUGGCCAUAAAUUGCACUGCGGAAGAAAAGAGCCAUAAACUUUGGCUAGAAUCAUCUCCAGACCACAAAGCCGGGCCCCAACAAUAGCUCCAGGAGAAACAGUUCUUGUCCGCUGCUGGAUUGUUUCCCUGCUGGAUUGUUUCCCUUCGGUGGGGCCCAUCUGCAGACUGCAUGGAGUCAGCACCAUCCCUCGUCCAGCAGCCAUCGGUCCAGACUGGGCCGAGGAAGCCGGCAAGCAACAGACCCGCUUGUGUCAACACACUCGGCC